UGAGCAAUCUGCCCUUCACAUCGGGAUAACCCCCGGAAACGGGAGCUAAUACCGGAUACGACCACUUCAGGCAUCUGAUGGUGGUGGAAAGUUCUGGCGGUGAAGGAUGAGCUCGCGGCCUAUCAGCUUGUUGGUGGGGUAAUGGCCCACCAAGGCUUCGACGGGUAGCCGGCCUGAGAGGGUGACCGGCCACACUGGGACUGAGACACGGCCCAGACUCCUACGGGA
rnacentral:rRNA from 1 species